CCCUCCGCAGGGCGCGGCUGAACCACGGUCGGGGCAGCGGCACCGUGGGAGAACAAAGUCAAGAAAGGGCAAAACAUGACACAAAAGAUUCUGAGGAAAAAGAGGAACAACCCCAUGAGCAGCAAGUCUGUGUAUCCAUAUUUGAGGUGCAUUUCAAUCCAUCAUAUUUCUGAAGACACCUGUAAUGCUUUAUCCUAUGGAUAAAUCCUCAAAAUUGCAAAUAAACCUACAGAGGGUGGAAUCUACGAUGGGUAACCUGGGAAGAGUGCAGAGACUGACGUAUGAAAACAUCAAGCUUUGUGUGGUGUGGUCAUUAGAUUGGAGGGAAGGGAUGCCAUCCAGAGGCACCUGGACAGGCUUGAGAGGUGGAACCUUGCAAACCUCGUGAAGUUCAACAAGGCUGAGUUCA